rnacentral:RNase_P_RNA from 1 species
CGGGCAGGCUGGAUGAUCGCUGUUCCGGGAAACCGGAAGGGAGGAAAGUCCGAACUCCCCAGGGCAGGAUGCUGGGUAACCCCCAGGCUUUGGUCCCGUGAGAGAUCAGAGACGGAAAGUGCCACAGAAAAUAAACCGCCAUUUAUUCUCUGAGUAAAUGGUAAGGGUGAAACGGUGGGGUAAGAGCCCACCGCCUUUCAAGUGAUUGAAAGGGCACGGUAAACCCCAUCUGGAGCGAGAUCAAAUAGAGAACUAUAAGGUGGCCCGCCUUGUUCCGGGUUGAUUGCAUGAGCUUGUUCGAAAGAGCCGGCCUAGAUACAUGGUCAUCGUCCCGGUUAUGCCGGGAAACAGAAUUCGGCUUACAGGCCUGCCCGUUUU